GAUGAACGCUGACAGAAUGCUUAACACAUGCAAGUCGACUGGUGGCGGACGGGUGAGUAACGCGUAAAGAACUUGCCUCACAGCUAGGGACAACAUUUAGAAAUGAAUGCUAAUACCUGAUACUGUGAGAGAGCUUUGCGUCCCAUUAGCUAGUUGGAGAGGUAACAGCUCACCAAGGCGAUGAUGGGUAGCCGGCCUGAGAGGGUGAACGGCCACAAGGGGACUGAGACACGGCCCUUACUCAUACGGGAGGCAGCAGUGGGGAAUAUUGGACAAUGGACCGAAGUCUGAUCCAGCAAUUCUGUUUGCACGAUGAAGUUUUCGGAAUGUAAAGUGCUUUGAGUUGGUCAGCGGUACCAAUAGAAGAAGUGACGGUUAAUUACGUGUCAGCAGCCGCGGUAAUUC
rnacentral:rRNA from 1 species